GACGAACGCUGGCGGCGUGCCUAAUACAUGCAAGUCGAGCGGAAGUUGGAGAGCUUGCUCUUCAACUUUAGCGGCGGACGGGUGAGUAACACGUGGGCAACCUGCCCUGCAGAUCGGGAUAACUCCGGGAAACCGGUGCUAAUACCGAAUAGUUUUCGCCACCUCCUGGUGGCGUACGGAAAGACGGUUUCGGCUGUCACUGCAGGAUGGGCCCGCGGCGCAUUAGCUAGUUGGUGGGGUAACGGCCCACCAAGGCAACGAUGCGUAGCCGACCUGAGAGGGUGAUCGGCCACACUGGGGAUGAGACACGGCCCAGACUCCUACGGGAGGCAGCAGUAGGGAAUCUUCCGCAAUGGACGAAAGUCGGACGGAGCAACGCCACGUGAGUGACGAAGGUUUUCGGAUCGUAAAACUCUGUUGUGAGGGAAGAACAGGUACCAACUAACUACUGGUACCUUGACGGUACCUCACCAGAAAGCCACGGCUAACUACGUGCCAGCCGCCGCAGUAA
rnacentral:rRNA from 1 species